rnacentral:rRNA from 1 species
AUACGUAGGGGGCGAGCGUUGUUCGGAAUUACUGGGCGUAAAGCGCAUGUAGGCGGACAUUUAAGUCAGGGGUGAAAUCCCGGGGCUCAACCCCGUGAAGCAAUGGAAACGGCUAUUCUUGAGUGCAGGAGAGGAAAGUGGAAUUCCCAGUGUAGCGGUGAAAUGCGUAGAUAUUGGGAGGAACACCAGUGGCGAAGGCGACUUUCUGGACUGUGUCUGACGCUGAGGCGCGAAAGCCAGGGGAGC